CGGCGGGGCUGGCUGCGCUGCUGGCGUUGGUCACCGGGACAGCUCCGGGACGCCCACCUUUCUACCAGCCGCGCCGUGAGGGCUUCCCGGCUUUGCCAUUCUUGACGAGGUCUCCGCUGUCGGGCUCUGGCCCCAGGUAAUGCUCAU
rfam:Ailuropoda melanoleuca scaffold598_93, whole genome shotgun sequence.